ACAUGCAANUCGAACGAGAAAGCCCGCAAGGGUGAGUAAAGUGGCGUACGGGUGAGUAACACGUGGUUAAUCUACUUCUGGGUGGGGAAUAACCUGGGAAACCGGGGCUAAUACCGCAUAAGACCGUGAGGUUAAAGGCGCAAGUCGCCUGGAGAGGAGCCCGCGGCUGAUUAGCUAGUUGGUAGGGUAAAGGCCUACCAAGGCUGAGAUCGGUAGCCGGCCUGAGAGGGCACACGGCCACACUGGCACUGAAACACGGGCCAGACUCCUACGGGAGGCAGCAGUGGGGAAUNUUGCACAAUGGGGGAAACCCUGAUGCAGCGACGCCGCGUGAGCGAUGAAGCCCUUCGGGGUGUAAAGCUCUUUCGGCAGGAACGAUCAUGACGGUACCUGAAGAAGAAGCUGCGGCUAAUUACGUGCCAGCANCNGCGGUAAUACGUAGGCAGCGAGCGUUGUUCGGAGUUACUGGGCGUAAAGAGUGCGUAGGCGGUUUCGCAANUCUGGUGUGAAAUCUCCCGGNUCAACUGGGAGGGUGCGCCGGAAACUGCGGGGCUGGAGUGUGGGAGAGGCAAGCGGAAUUCCUGGUGUAGCGGUGAAAUGCGUAGAUAUCAGGAGGAACACCUGCGGUGUAGACGGCUUGCUGGACCAUAACUGACGCUGAGGCACGAAAGCGUGGGGAGCAAACAGGAUUAGAUACCCCUGGUAGUCCACGCCCUAAACGAUGCGUACUUGGUGUGAGCAGUUCAUUCUGUUCGUGCCGGAGCUAACGCGUUAAGUAUGCCG
rnacentral:rRNA from 1 species